CACACAAAAUAGGGACUUGCAGUGUAAGUAUAUAUUAUACUUACUAUCAAUAGGUUAGCGGCGUUUACGGCCUUUGCGACUAUUUUGGGUGCCUUGUCAGAUUGGACUUGUCCUACGAUAACGAUGUUCAUGGAUACCUUUUCAGCGCCCAUUUUUGAUUUUGGUCGGUUUUUGUUGUGUGAAGAAUUAAAAACUGCAAGUAAAAAGUAAAAUAAUAAGAACAAAAAAAUAUACUACUAUAGUUUUUUUCGCACGGGUAUACUUU